rnacentral:lncRNA from 1 species
AUAGUCUCUCAGCUCUUUGCCGGUAACUCUGAUGGGGCCUCUGCAGUUCUAUUACCCUCUCUUUCUGAUGUUUUCAAUAUAAUGUUACCUGACUCCGAUGUGUGACUAUUUUUACGGGGUUAAACAAAACGGUUUUUUCUGGCUCACCUUUAGCUUGGAAAACCCAGCAUUUUUUGGAGUCUUUGCUCAGAGAGGAGCCCUGCACUAAGUUCCACUUUGGUAAGCCUGAGUUCUGCCAGAAGAGUCGUUCUGCUCCAUGGACAGUGGGCUGACCUCUCCUAAUAGAGCUGAGAGUUCAAAGAGGCCUGGGUCAUUCUGUGCUGCUGCUGCUUCUGCCACUGCUGCUGCUGAAGAGACUUCAGCCUCCUGCUUGAGUCUGGGAGACCUCCCCCUACCCACAUAUUGCCACAGAGAUGGGCUCUGGCAGCCAUCUAUGAUUUAGAAGGGCCCACACCUGGUGUGUACCCUGCUUGCUGAGAAGGAAGCCCGGGAUCAGAUCUGCUGUUAUUGUGGUUCUCCACUCCAAAGCAGACAGACAGACCCAAGGCCAGAUGCCCGAGUGACGUCACAAAGUAAGGAUCUCAUGUCAUCCUGACCCAGCAGAAAAGUGGUCACCUGCUCCGUGAUGUGGGCCCAAGGACAGCCACCUCAUUAAUGAUGGCAGGGGUAGGAGAGACGUGGUGAGAGCUCCUCACAGGUACAGUGACACCUCCAGACGCCACCCCCACCUGGCCCCCGCCCUCUGUACUUCCUCCUCCCUCUGUACUUUUGCUGACCAAGGUUGAUGGAGCUUGCUCCCCACAGAGAGCUUGCUGACCUUCCAAGUCUAGCAAACAGGGCAGUCCUCUGCCUCGUUAGGUCCUAGGGUUCUGCCCACGUGAAGGUUAACCUAUACUGAAGCCAGCUUCCGUCACAUCCAUCCCUCUGGAGAUCCUAGAGUACCUUGUAAG